GUCCCUGUCGAUUAGUGGUUAAAUCAUCUCGUUGUGGUAGGCCGUGCUACAUCCAAUGCAACCGAGAAGCCGGAAGUUCGAAUCCUCCUUGGGACA
rfam:Fistulina hepatica ATCC 64428 unplaced genomic scaffold FISHEscaffold_484, whole genome shotgun sequence.